CAGAAGUUCAAAAUGGUGGAGCUUGAAGUUGAAAUAUGGGACAAGAUUAAGGAAUUUCAACUUUUUAGCUUAUGGGAAACAUGGACAUGUAUAUAGAUAAUUACCAUAUAAUGAAAAAUGUCCUUCACUUGGAAAUCAGGCCAUUGUGUCCCAUCAUAACUGGGAAAUAUCCUUUGCUAUCAAGCCUAUAGUGGAUAGUAACAUGGUUCAGAUUAGUUUUCAACCAAAGAGACAUAAAUAUUAUUAGACACUGUCACCAUCUGAUGGAUAAUUUGGGAUUUUCAGCCAGAUGGUAGAAGCGAUCGCUCAAGAUUUCAGUUAUAAGGGUAAUUCAUUUUGGUGUUUUAUGAAACUCUUGCAUCAUUACAAGUGUACUCAGUGUGCAGCAUUUAAGAUAAGUUAGGAAGGGUUAUAGAAUUUCUUUUCUGAGGCUUAGUUUAAACUAGUGUUGUAUAUUACUAUUUCCUGUUUAAAAUUUCAGUAUGAAUCAUUCACAAGAAUGUAAUACAUAGUGAAUAAAGGUCACUUUCCUGGGAUGUAUUUACAAAGAAGUACUUUUUUGUAUCAGCAGGGAAAAAAAUGCCAGGAAUUAAUGUUCAUUGUGUUAAUUUCUUUUUAUUUUA